GAUGAACGCUGGCGGCGUGCCUAAUACAUGCAAGUCGAGCGAACGGACGAGAAGCUUGUUUUUCUGAUGUUAGCGGCGGACGGGUGAGUAACACGUGGAUAACCUACCUAUAAGACUGGGAUAGCUUCGGGAAACCGGAGAUAAUACCGGAUAAUAUUUUGAACCGCAUGGUUCAAAAGUGAAAGACGGUCUUGCUGUUACUGAUAGAUGGAUCCGCGCUGCAUUAGCUAGUUGGUAAGGUAACGGCUUACCAAGGCAACGAUGCAUAGCCGACCUGAGAGGGUGAUCGUCCACACUGGAACUGGGACACGGUCCAGACUCCUACGGGAGGCAGCGGUAGGGGAUCUUCCGCAAUGGCCGAAAGCCUGACGGAGAAACGCCGCGUGAGUGAUGAAGGUCUUCGGAUCGUAGAUCUCUGCUAUUUUGGAAGAACAGAUGGGUAAGUAACUGUGAACGUCUUGACGGUACCUAAUCAAAAAGCCACGGCUAACUACGUG
rnacentral:rRNA from 1 species